CGCAUGGGUGGGUCUUACAGGGGUGCGUCCCCAUUGGCUAAUGAGUGUUAAGGGAAAGUUUGAGUGACAGCUCAGCCUCAGUGCAGGUAAACUAACAUUAGAGACUCAGAGUCUGGUCUGGAGGACACACAAGCCACUCCACAGCGGAUUCCUACAAGAUUAAUAAAGUAGACCUGCAGGACCCGAGCAGAGCUACGAUGCUCUCCCAGGUAACGUUAGCUGACAUCAGGCAGCAGGCAGUCCAACCAAGAGGACGUGGUAGCAGCAGAGGGAGAGGAGCCUUCGGUCUCUCUGUGGAGGAAACACUAUGUGUGCUAAGGCUUCUAACAGCCAGGGUAUAGAC